GUCGAACGAGCUUCCGUUGAAUGACGUGCUUGCACUGAUUUCAACAAUGAAGCGAGUGGCGAACUGGUGAGUAACACGUGGGGAAUCUGCCCAGAAGCAGGGGAUAACACUUGGAAACAGGUGCUAAUACCGUAUAACAACAAAAUCCGCAUGGAUUUUGUUUGAAAGGUGGCUUCGGCUAUCACUUCUGGAUGAUCCCGCGGCGUAUUAGUUAGUUGGUGAGGUAAAGGCCCACCAAGACGAUGAUACGUAGCCGACCUGAGAGGGUAAUCGGCCACAUUGGGACUGAGACACGGCCCAAACUCCUACGGGAGGCAGCAGUAGGGAAUCUUCCACAAUGGACGAAAGUCUGAUGGAGCAAUGCCGCGUGAGUGAAGAAGGGUUUCGGCUCGUAAAACUCUGUUGUUAAAGAAGAACACCUUUGAGAGUAACUGUUCAAGGGUUGACGGUAUUUAACCAGAAAGCCACGGCUAACUACGUGCCAGCAGCCGCGGUAAUACGUAGGUGGCAAGCGUUGUCCGGAUUUAUUGGGCGUAAAGCGAGCGCAGGCGGUUUUUUAAGUCUGAUGUGAAAGCCUUCGGCUUAACCGGAGAAGUGCAUCGGAAACUGAGAGACUUGAGUGCAGAAGAGGACAGUGGAACUCCAUGUGUAGCGGUGGAAUGCGUAGAUAUAUGGAAGAACACCAGUGGCGAAGGCGGCUGUCUAGUCUGUAACUGACGCUGAGGCUCGAAAGCAUGGGUAGCGAACAGGAUUAGAUACCCUGGUAGUCCAUGCCGUAAACGAUGAGUGCUAAGUGUUGGAGGGUUUCCGCCCUUCAGUGCUGCAGCUAACGCAUUAAGCACUCCGCCUGGGGGAGUACGACCGCAA
rnacentral:rRNA from 2 species